CCGUGCUAGACGGGGAGGUAGCGGUGCCCUGUAACCUGCAAUCCGCUGCAGCAGGGUCGAAUUCCUGUCUGAGGGUCUGUCUUUUGGGGACAGCCCUGUGUAAGUGGCUAUGAGAGCUGGGUCCUGCGCAACGGGAGAUCACGAACCCCGUCAGGUCCGGAAGGAAGCAGCGGUAAGUGAUUGACCCCGUGUGCCGCAGGGGUGCCUGGUUUGAGUUAACUGCACAGACAGCGCCUGGAAGGCAGAUUCGAGGGCAGGUGCACGG
rfam:Clostridia bacterium 41_269 MPF_scaffold_6, whole genome shotgun sequence.